rnacentral:sRNA from 2 species
AAACCACAUACGCAGUGGAGCUCCGGGACAAUUAUCAACUUUCCAGUUUUCUAUGGAUAUGAAGAUUUACUCCUAGUCAUCAGUGGGACCCCCAUGAAGU